GCCAAGGCUUGAAAAUCUCUUCUGUGUGCCAAACCAGAACUGGACAUUUCUGGUUUUGCAAUGCAGACGUUCUAGUACUGGAAUUAACAAAUGCUCCACACUGAGCUACUGCCAAAUUGCCAGGAGAGUUUUUCAGUGUUUGUUUGGGGGAUAGGGUAACAAUAGGAUGGCCUUUGGAGAUUGUGUCUGACACACCUGUGGGCAGAAGGUAGGCUUUAAGUAUCCACCAUCUCUUCCUUUUAGAGUUUGCCAUCUCCGUACCACCACCACCACCACACACAGCACCCUCAAGACUCCCUGUGAUCCUGGGAUGCACUCAACGAAGAGUGUGUGGCCCAGGAUUUGAUGGAAAUGCUACAAGAGAAGCAGGCUCUCCCCUUCUGAAAUGAUGAGUGAUAAUGACCAUACAGGUCAACUUUUCCACCACUUGGAGGGAGCCUGUCAAAGAACAAAGGCAACAGAGAAGAGAGCAGAGCUGAGGUUGGGUGAGAGGGAGAAAUUCCUGAGUGCUUGAAUCCCACAUGCCGGAAGCCGCACCACACUUGGACUUCUCAAUACAGGAGCCAGCUCCAGUGUCCUACAGAUGUGCCUCUUUUCUCUUUGAAGCUGAGAAACCAAGUCAUGCUGAAGACCUGGAAAUCCCAGCAGGCUGCAAACCAGCUGCAACUACAAUGGGUCAGCCCUUUUGAGAUGCUGCUGACUACCCACUUAUCUGCCAAGUUAGCCAGUGUUAAGCCAUGGAUUCACCACGCUCAGAUAAAACCUGCCCCUCUGGGAUCCCUCCAGAAAAAAACAGGCAUGCUGUUGUGAACCCUAAGAUGGCCUUAAGUUAAUAUUCAAUGCCCAGCCAAAGACCCUAAAUAAGAAGUCAUAAAGGAAACAUGUGCUUUUCAGGUACCAAUCACCCUCCAGAUCUAAGAAUGGCUUCAGGCUGGGGCUGCAGUCACCUCUUUGCCCAGCUUCUCCCCUGCCCUAUUCUGCUUCACUUGCAUCCUUAAAGGUUCCACCCAAGAGCUCUUCUACAAGAAAGCACCUAUAAAGCCAGACACAUUGGCUUAUGCCUAUAAUCCUAGCACUUUGGGAGGCCAAGGUAGGAGGAUGGCUUGAGGCCAGGAGUUCAAGACCAGCCUGGGCAACUUAGUGAGGCCCCGUCUCUAUAAAAAAUAAAAAAAUUAACCAGGUGUGGUGGUGCACGUCUCUAGUCUCAGCUACUCAGGAGGCUGUGGCAGGAAGAUGGCUUGAGCCCAGGAGGUUGAGGCUGCAGUGAACUAAGAUCAUGCCACUGCACCCAUCUUGGGCAACAGAAUGAGAUCCUGUCUCUAAAAAAAUAAAAACAAUUUACAACAGUAAGCACCUGUACACAAGCCCCAUCUCCAGUCCUGUUUCUAGGGCUUCCAAUUUAACACACCUAGAGGCUGGGCAUAGUAGCUCAUGCCUGUAAUCCCAAUACUUUGGGAGGCUGAGGCAAGUGAAGCACUUGAGGUCAGGAGUUCGAGACCAGCCUGGCCAACAUGGCAAAACCCCAUCUCUACUAAAAAUGCAAACAUUAGCUGGGCAUGGUGGCACAUGCCUGUAAUCCCAGCUACUCGGGAGGCUGAGACAGGAGAAUCACUUGAACCCAGGAGGUGGAGGUUACAGUGAGCCAAGAUCACACCACUGUACCACAGCCUGAGCAACGAAAGAAGACUCUGUCUAAAAAAAGUAAAAAAUAAAAUAAAACACACCUGGAGCUUUCUA
rnacentral:lncRNA from 1 species